CAUGUCUCUUCCUGAAAGAAAACAGGAAGCAGGUUUCAGUUGUUUUACAGAAGUGAAAGAAAUUUCAGAGCUGCUGUUCAACUCAACGUUUCAGAGGAGGAAAUGGAAAUAUCUAGAAAUAAUGUUUGAGAUCCCAGCUGUGUGUCUCUGAAGAGUGAUGCAUCUGUGAAUCUUCCUCCUGAAUUGAGUGAUGAAGCAGUGACCUUUGACCCCAGCAGAGCAGAUCGAGAGCGAAGCAUGUCUCGAGAAGGCACCUCUGUCUUCUGUCUGAACAACACGAGCGUUACGGUGUCUUUGAAUAAACAUGAUCAACCAGUGAAUGAUGAACUACAGAGAGUCAAAGACCAGCUCAAAACCAGCAUGAAGAACAAGUAUGAGAGAUUAUUUGAGGGACUGAAACCCCAGGAGAAUAAAAGCCUCCUGAGCAGGAUCUACACACAGCUCUACAUCAUAGAGGGAGAGAGAGAAGGAGUGAAUGAAGAACAUGAGGUUUUACAGAUGGAGAAAACAGCCAGAACACAAUACUCACAAGACACUCCA